GCCUGACUUGCUCAGUAAGUAGAGCAUGUGACUUGUGAUCUCAGGGUUGUGAGUUCAAGCUCCACGUUGAGUG
rnacentral:tRNA from 1 species